rnacentral:rRNA from 1 species
GACGAACGCUGGCGGCGUGCUUAACACAUGCAAGUCGAACGGAAAGGCCCUGCUUUUGUGGGGUGCUCGAGUGGCGAACGGGUGAGUAACACGUGAGUAACCUGCCCUUGACUUUGGGAUAACUUCAGGAAACUGGGGCUAAUACCGGAUAGGAGCUCCUGCUGCAUGGUGGGGGUUGGAAAGUUUCGGCGGUUGGGGAUGGACUCGCGGCUUAUCAGCUUGUUGGUGGGGUAGUGGCUUACCAAGGCUUUGACGGGUAACCGGCCUGAGAGGGUGACCGGCCACAUUGGGACUGAGAUACGGCCCAGACUCCUACGGGAGGCAGCAGUGGGGAAUAUUGCACAAUGGGCGGAAGCCUGAUGCAGCAACGCCGCGUGCGGGAUGACGGCCUUCGGGUUGUAAACCGCUUUCGCCUGUGACGAAGCGUGAGUGACGGUAAUAGGUAAAGAAGCACCGGCUAACUACGUGCCAGCAGCCGCGGUGAUACGUAGGGUGCGAGCGUUGUCCGGAUUUAUUGGGCGUAAAGGGCUCGUAGGUGGUUGAUCGCGUCGGAAGUGUAAUCUUGGGGCUUAACCCUGAGCGUGCUUUCGAUACGGGUUGACUUGAGGAAGGUAGGGGAGAAUGGAAUUCCUGGUGGAGCGGUGGAAUGCGCAGAUAUCAGGAGGAACACCAGUGGCGAAGGCGGUUCUCUGGGCCUUUCCUGACGCUGAGGAGCGAAAGCGUGGGGAGCGAACAGGCUUAGAUACCCUGGUAGUCCACGCUGUAAACGGUGGGUACUAGGUGUGGGGUCCAUUCCACGGGUUCCGUGCCGUAGCUAACGCUUUAAGUACCCCGCCUGGGGAGUACGGCCGCAAGGCUAAAACUCAAAGGAAUUGACGGGGCCCCGCACAAGCGGCGGAGCAUGCGGAUUAAUUCGAUGCAACGCGUAGAACCUUACCUGGGUUUGACAUGGAUCGGGAGUGCUCAGAGAUGGGUGUGCCUCUUUUGGGGUCGGUUCACAGGUGGUGCAUGGCUGUCGUCAGCUCGUGUCGUGAGAUGUUGGGUUAAGUCCCGCAACGAGCGCAACCCUUGUUCACUGUUGCCAGCACGUUAUGGUGGGGACUCAGUGGAGACCGCCGGGGUCAACUCGGAGGAAGGUGGGGAUGACGUCAAGUCAUCAUGCCCCUUAUGUCCAGGGCUUCACGCAUGCUACAAUGGCUGGUACAGAGAGUGGCGAGCCUGUGAGGGUGAGCGAAUCUCGGAAAGCCGGUCUCAGUUCGGAUUGGGGUCUGCAACUCGACCUCAUGAAGUCGGAGUCGCUAGUAAUCGCAGAUCAGCAACGCUGCGGUGAAUACGUUCCCGGG